GGGAGACCGGGGGCGCCGCAGCUGGACUGCGACCUGGAGAGAGAGCAGGGCUGCGGCUCGCGCUCCCAAGCCCAGUCGCUGCCUGGGGGCGGUGACCGCGGAAGGUCCCUUUCUGAUCUGCCACCUGCUAUUUCGAGGGAUGUUUCGUUGAUAAGAACGCAAAGUUCUAAGGAAACAACUUUUGGGGCAUUUGAGGGACAGAGAGAGGACUGUGUCUAUCAGAUUUCCUGCAAACUUCCUGCAUUCCCCCGAAAAUGACCCGCAUCAGCCCUGCGCCUCACAUCUUUUACGCUUUAGAGAAACAGCAUUCUGGGACUCUCCCGAUUCUGUGCUCCCGAUGCUCACGCUCUCUAACUAGCAUACUGUAAAAACGCCCUCCUUUUCCCCA